rnacentral:rRNA from 1 species
CAGCAAUUUGGCAAGAACCGGUGUACUUUGUAUACUAUACGGACUACGUCCAAUAAAGUUCUGGAUAUAAAACUGAGAUAUGACAAAUUUAUAUUAUUAGUCUUGACCAAAUUACGUGCCAGCAGUCGCGGUAAUACGUAGAAGACAAGUGUUAGUCAUCUUUAAUAGGUUUAAAGGGUACCUAGACGGCAAGAUUAACCUGCAAAGGAAAUGGUUUUGCUUGAGUUUUAUAUGAGAAGGGGAGUAUUUACGGAGUAGAGAUGAAAUUCUUUGAUACCUUAAGGACUGGCAAGGGCGAAAGCGACCUUUUAUGUAAAAACUGACGUUGAGGGACGGAGGCUUAGACAGCGAACAGGAUUAGAUACCCUAGUAGUCUUUGCAGAGAAUGAUGAAUGCCAUAGAUUAGAUUUUUUCUGGUUUAUAAAUGAAAGUGUAAGCAUUCCACCUCAUGAGUAAUGUGGCAACGCAGGAAUUGAAAUCAUUAGACCGUUUCUGAGAACAGUAGUGAAGUAUGUUAUUUAAUUCGAUAGCCCUCGAAAAACCUUACCACAACUUGAAUAUAGCAUAAAGCCCGUAGGUCAAAAAACUUACUAUGCUAAACAAGUGUUGCACGGUUGUCUUCAGCUAAUGUCGUGAGAUUGUGGUUAGCUCCAUAAAAUUAGCGGAAACCCCGGCUUUAUUUUUAAAUUUUUUAUCAUAAAGCAGUUCAUCAUUAUAUAGAAUAAUCGUGAUAACAGGGACCAAGACAAAUC